rnacentral:lncRNA from 1 species
UUCGGGGUGCACAACGGUUGCGCCAAAAACGGUCCAAAAAUGGCCAAGGCUUUACCAUACGAAAAAUCGGCCGAUUUUAAACCAUGUGAAAACGUCCCGAAAAUUCACAGAUAACUACUAGGAGCCUCACUCUGAGUAAUAUCAAAGUUUUUCACACAAAACCGCUCGGAGAUGCCCGGACUCAGUUUUUAUUUUCGUCCCAAUACUUUUCUUCCAAUGGACUAGUUGUGUUUCUUUGAUCUUGUGCAACCUCUUUAGGCCGAUGAUAGCCCGCGGAUAGUGUGGAAAACCCAUCUAUUGCACCCAGUACGACACAGAAAAAAAGCCCAGGGCCUAGGGUCGUGGUGCUCGUUCGUGCACAACGUUGCGCCAAAAACGGUCCAAAAAUGGCCAAGGCUUUACCAUACGAAAAAUCGGCCGAUUUUUAACCAUGUGAAAACGUCCCGAAAAUUCACAGAUAACUACUAGGAGGCCUCACUCUGAGUAAUAUUCAAAGUUUUUUCCCACAAGAACCGCUCGAGAUGCCCGGACUCAGUUUUUAUUUUCGUCCCAAUACUUUUUUCCAAUGACUAGUUGUGUUUCUUGAUCUUGUGCAACCUCUUUAGGCCGAUGAUAGCCGCGGAUAGUGUGGAAACCCAUCUAUAUUGCACCCAGUACGACACAGAAAAAAAGCCCAGGCCUAGGUCGGGUGGGCUCGUUCGGGUGCACAACGGUUGCGCCAAAAACGGUCCAAAAAAUGGCCAAGGCUUUACCAUACGAAAAAUCGGCCGAUUUUUAACCAUGUGAAACGUCCCGAAAAUUCACAGAUAACUACUAGAGCCUCACUCUGAGUAAUAUCAAAGUUUUUUCCCACAAGAACCGCUCGAGAUGCCCGACUCAGUUUUUAUUUUCGUCCCAAUACUUUUCUUCCAAUGACUAGUUGUGUUUCUUUGAUCUUGUGCAACCUCUUUAGGCCGAUGAUAGCCCGCGGAUAGGUGUGGAAACCCAUCUAUAUUGCACCCAGUACGACACAGAAAAAAAAGCCA